UACGGAGGGUGCGAGCGUUGUCCGGAAUCACUGGGCGUAAAGGGCGCGUAGGCGGCAUGCCAAGCGUGUGGUGAAAGCCCGGGGCUCAACCCCGGGUCGGCCGUGCGGACUGGCGUGCUCGAGCACUGUAGGGGCGGGUGGAAUUCCGGGUGUAGCGGUGGAAUGCGUAGAGAUCCGGAAGAACACCGGUGGCGAAGGCGGCCUGCUGGGCAGUAGCUGACGCUGAAGCGCGACAGCGUGGGGAGCAAACAGG
rnacentral:rRNA from 1 species